rnacentral:rRNA from 1 species
UACGUAGGGGGCUAGCGUUGUCCGGAAUCAUUGGGCGUAAAGAGCGCGUAGGCGGCCAGAUAAGUCCGGUGUGAAAGUCACAGGCUCAACCUGUGAAUGCCGCUGGAAACUGUCUGGCUAGAGUCCGGGAGGGGCGAGUGGAAUUCCUGGUGUAGCGGUGAAAUGCGCAGAUAUCUGGAGGAACACCGGUGGCGAAGGCGGCAUCCUGGACCAAUAUUGACGCUGAGGAGCGAAAGCCAGGGGA